GUCCAUCAUGAAUAGUUCAAUGUUAAUAUUGCCACGAUAGUCUAAGUAGCAUAUGGGACACAUCCAUUGAAAUCACAUUAUACCAUAGUUUGCCGCAAUAUUUAUUUGCAAUAGAAAAUUGAAAUUAUGAAGUCGAAGACCUUUCCUUCAUUCUCCUCCCUUAACUAUUGUGUUUAGUCAGGGUGGGGAUGAUAUUUCAUAUCGGCAACUUCAGCUUCUCAACCAUUACAGCUGCUACAACAUUCUUGCAACCUCCUCCAUCCAUAACACAAUCACAAGCCUUGCCAUGUGACGUGCCCUUUGCAUGGAAACCAUUGUGGUGCCCUGUGUUGGUCACCUCUCUCUAAC
rnacentral:lncRNA from 1 species